rnacentral:rRNA from 1 species
UUGGGGUGUAAAGUGCGUGUAGGCUGUUCGGAAAAGUCGGAUGUGAAAAGCCCCUGGGGCUCAACCCAGGAAGUGCAUUCGAAAACUUCCGAACUUGAGUCCUGGAGAGGAAGGCGGAAUUCUCGGUGUAGAGGUGAAAUUCGUAGAUAUUGAGAGGAACAUCGGUGGCGAAGGCGGCCUUCUGGACAGUGACUGACGCUGAGACGCGAAAGCGUGGGGAGCAAAACAGGAUUAGAUA